UGGCCUCACGUGAUGUGUAUAUUUGUCGUUAGUGUCAACAUAUCGUGACUGAGCAACAUCCCUGCAAACACAAGGAAAGUAGUGUGUUGCGGGAUUUCUUUGAAGCACAAGCCACUCAAUCAAGCAAGCUCCACUCCCCUUGAUGUUUGCUCUCCAGCUCUCCUGCCGUUCGUGAGUUACGUUUUUCCGUAGCGAAAGGCGGAAAAUUACCUCCAAAUGUUUGGCCGCCCGUCAAAAGAAAGCAGCGGGAAUCCGGAGAAAGGAAGGAGUACUUUGAAUACAAAUAUGACUGCUGUUUGACCUUUUUAUCACUACUUACAUGUUUUAAGAGACUUUGGUAAAAGUUGUCACACAGUAUAAUUUUCCAGGAAGUUUUCAUUUGGUCAAAUUGAACCACCAUUGGGUUAUACGACUUGCCUGGUAUGAAGUACUAUUAUGUACUAAGUACUUGGUGGAAUUGUGCUGUCUUGUGGGACGAAGGCUUUGACCCAGUGCAAUAAAAUCCCGCAGAAGCUGAGUCGCUUCUACUACAAGGUCACCUUUAAGGUAAAACCCCAGCUACACCAUCAGCGCCUCCAGCAGAAGAGUCUCCGAGUUAACCUAAAGCUUCUACGAGUCAAGUGAGAGCCUCUCCUCCGCCACCAACGCAAGCCUCUCGCCUCUCUCAGAAGGCAAUGUUG